rnacentral:rRNA from 1 species
UACGUAGGGUGCAAGCGUUAAUCGGAAUUACUGGGCGUAAAGCGUGCGCAGGCGGUUAUGUAAGACAGUUGUGAAAUCCCCGGGCUCAACCCUGGGAACUGCAUCUGUGACUGCAUAGCUAGAGUACGGUAGAGGGGGAUGGAAUUCCGCGUGUAGCAGUGAAAUGCGUAGAUAUGCGGAGGAACACCCAGAGUGGAGCGGACGGUCAA